rnacentral:rRNA from 1 species
AUUGAACGCUGGCGGCAGGCCUAACACAUGCAAGUCGAGCGGAUGAGAGGAGCUUGCUCUUCGAUUCAGCGGCGGACGGGUGAGUAAUGCCUAGGAAUCUGCCCAGUAGUGGGGGACAACGUUUCGAAAGGAACGCUAAUACCGCAUACGUCCUACGGGAGAAAGUGGGGGAUCUUCGGACCUCACGCUAUUGGAUGAGCCUAGGUCGGAUUGGCUGGUUGGUAGGGUAAAGGCCUACCAAGGCGACGAUCCGUAACUGGUCUGAGAGGAUGAUCAGUCACACUGGAACUGAGACACGGUCCAGGCUCCUACGGGAGGCAGCAGUGGGGAAUAUUGGACAAUGGGCGCAAGCCUGAUCCAGCCAUGCCGCGUGUGUGAAGAAGGCCCUCGGGUCGUAAAGCACUUUAAGUUGGGAGGAAGGGCUUACAGCGAAUACCUGUGAGUUUUGACGUUACCGACAGAAUAAGCACCGGCUAACUUCGUGCCAGCCGCCGCCGUAA